GUCUCCGUAACUUCAAAAAUAAGAGACUCUCUGUCAUCUCUGAAGACCCCGACCGACAAGCCACCGAUCCAAUUCCGGCAAAACUCCAGAUUCAACUACUAAUUAAACCACAGAUCCCUCUUCUCCUCAAUCUAUUCUACAAAACUUUACCUUUUUAGUUUGUCUUACCCAAACGAACCCCACAUUCUCCAGAACUUUGAGAAGCAAUCUGAUUCUGCGCCGUUCAAUCUUCUCAAUUCGCCGACGCCGAUUCGUACAUCACGAACUCAGCCCACCUUUGUCAAACUACUGACGCUCCCUUGAGCCGUUGCCUCUCCUUCGGAGACACCCACAAACUCCCCACCGACAACAACACCGACCCCCUGUUACGACGGAUCCUUUACUUGCGACGGAGAACUCAAGCUUUGUAGUAAGGUUUCUUGUAGUUUGCUGAUCGUUUCCAGGUAAUUGGUGUAGUAGGUUGUGCAUAAAACAACCUCUCAAGCCCGUAAACUAGCAGGCAUUCCAUCACAACCGAGGCCGCCCCGAAGUAUCCACCAAUAAGUAGGGUGGGCCGGGCCCGACCUCGGUGGCAGUAUUGGGCUGGGAGUGGUUUUAGAAGGCAUAAGGGAGCUGGGUGUGAAAUAGCAGCAAAGACAGUUGCCCCACAUCGGUUUUCAGGUGAAGAGAAUCCACUCUAGGCCAUAAAUAUGGCCCAGCCACCAACUUGUCAGGUAUAAUAACUACCUUCAGUAAUUACAUUCUACCACAAGAUACUGACUUAAGCUUCGGAGAAGAAAAGACCGGAAGCCCCCGGUCACCCUUGUUAUUGCAGGGCAGUGGGAGGAUAGCUGACCAUCCACCAGGGCACAUCAUCAGCUUCUGCGAACCCAUCCGAGAUUGUACAUAAACAAUUGGAAAGCCAACUCUCUUUCUAGAGGAGGAAAACUUGUUCUGAA